CCUACGGGGGGCAGCAGUGAGGAAUAUUGGUCAAUGGACGAGAGUCUGAACCAGCCAAGUAGCGUGAAGGAUGACUGCCCUAUGGGUUGUAAACUUCUUUUAUAAAGGAAUAAAACGAGGCACGUGUGCCUUUUUGCAUGUACUUUAUGAAUAAGGAUCGGCUAACUCCGUGCCAGCAGCCGCGGUAAUACGGAGGAUCCGAGCGUUAUCCGGAUUUAUUGGGUGUAAAGGGAGCGCAGGCGGGCUGUUAAGCCGGCGGUAAAAAUUCAGGGCUCAACCCUGUCGAGCCGUCGGAACUGGCAGUCUUGAGUGGGCGAGAAGUAUGCGGAAUGCGUGGUGUAGCGGU
rnacentral:rRNA from 1 species